GGGUGGGGGAAUGCAUGGGUGUGUAUGUCAGUCAGUCUUUUGGUGCUGGAGUGUGUAUGUAUGUGCCAGUGAACGUUAGUGUGUCAGUGUGUCAGAGUGCGCCCGAGUGUCAGGGAUUAUCUGUGUUGUGCCGUGUAUAUGUGUGUGUUGUGAAGUCUGUGUUGCGGGGCGUGUGUGCGUGUGCGCGCGCGCCUCCAUAUCAGCUCUUUCCCAAGACCCAGCAGAGGCGGCGCCCCUUCAGCUGUUGCCAGAAAACCGGGGAAGAAAAAUUCUUCUCAUCCUUCAAGAUUCAACUCCAAGGCCAUUUCCUCCUUGAGACCUCUUGUGAUUGUGAUUGCCCUGUGAUUCCUCUUCAAAUUUUCUGAGAGCUCUUUGGAUUUCUCCCUUGUCAUCAUCAACCAAACUUGUGUUCCAAAUGUGGAAUAUGAACUUAAAUAGAAUGCAAACAGCUUGAAGGAACUUCAAUUAAAUCUUAAGAUCAACCAACAAGCACCUAUUAAAAGUGCUCACUAUAUUUUAGGCAUGAUGCUAGAUGCUUGGGACACAAAAACAAAAAUUUAAUUGUCUCUGCUUUCAAGGAGCUUAGAUCCUGCCAGAAGAGACAGCAUAUACUUGCCUGAUUUUUCUCUCUUAGCCAAGGAGUUUCUGCAAAUCCACCCACCCCCUGAGGUAAUGCCGAAGGUUUCAAUAUUUCCAAGAUGCUGCCAGAAUCCAAGGAGGUAACUGUAAUUGCCUGCAUCAAAUCAAGAUCUUCCCUAACACUGCAAAAGCUGAAAAACAGGAAAAAUCAGUGAGUGUAGAAAAUGACACCAGCCUGGAAGAGGAGGGAAACAUGGACUGAGUGAAAAAGAAGGUGGAGGCAGUGUGCAUUUCUCUGAAAGAUACUACAAAUGGACAAUAAAUUUGGUCCAGGGAAGAGGAGAGGAGAAUAGAUGAGUUGCCUUUGGGAAAUUAUCUGGGUCUUUUAGUGAUCUUAAAUUCAACUUGGAAACGAAGAUCUUCUCAACUAAGCUCAAUGUGGGGAUAAAUAUGUGUGAGACAAGGAAUACUGUGGUCUCUGAAGAAAUGUCGUUGAGGACUCUUCAGAGAACAAUAGAGGCUCAUGGCAGGUCCAAACAGGCUGCAACACAUGGCAAAUGAGCAAGUAUAAGGAAAAGGAAUGUGAAGAAUAUGAACAAAAAUGUAUUAUGAAAAAGAUGAAUCUAUUACUUACCACUUCUGAGAGUAACUAAUGUGUACCUGUGUACCUCAUUGGUGUCAUCAUAGAUGAAUGCCACGAGAACUUGAAGGCUCCUGGCAUAAUGAGUCGAUGACCUCCUUGUGAUGAACUUAGUGGAGAAUGAAAGUUAGGGGAUGGGCAGAUGUAGAUAGGUUUUGAUCUGCACUGUAAAAAGGAAUGCCCUCAGUGAUGAGAUCACAAAUCUAUUGGAAUGAAUUUUCAAUCCAUCUCUUAUUGCAUGAAAAUCUAUGUUAAAGGAUGUUGCAAACUCACUUUGAGGAGGUAAUAAUAACUAAGCCCAUCAUCAUCAUGCAAGAGCCUAUGUUCUCCACUUAGGUAUUUCCAGUAAAAAAUGUUGGAGCUUGAAUUGAGGAAAGAACAGGGAUCCUGAUGCUUAGGAAUUCAAGGUUGUAACCUGCCAAGCAAUUUUUCUUUGCAUUAGGGAGAUCCAUUUCUUAGGGAAAUAAAAUAGGCAAUAAUAAUAAUAAUAAUAGACAGCAUUUAUAUGGUAUUUUAAGGUUUUCAUAGUACUUUACAGAUAGUAUCUCAUUUAAUCCUCAUAACUUGGGAGGUAUAUAUUAUUAUUAUCUCCAUUUUGAAGAAGAAACUGAGACAAACAGAGGUUAUAUAAUGUGCUUAGGGUCACAGUUAUGAAGUGUCUAAGGUAGUAUUUGAAUUCAGAUCUUCUUGACUCUGUGUCCAGAGCUUUAACCAUUUUGCCAUCUAUCUUCCUAGGGUACAGGCUAAACAAGAAGGUCAUGGUAACUACCAGGUACAAUCAAGGUUAAAUUGAGAAAACCUGAUUAGUGCCCCAUCUCCACCUCUGUGGGCAUGACAGAAUGCAAGGUUAAGGUCAGGGUCUUCCAUGCCACUCUUUUGGCUUAAGCUAUGGGCAUUCAUAUAAGGAAAGAUUUGUACCAAGUUAAAAAAAAGAAACAGUUUUGGAGCAGAUAUCUCAGAAGCAGCAGUCUCAGAAGAAUGUACAUUUUAAGUGAUACAAAAGGCAAUUGAAUGAUUGCACAUUACUAUUUUGACCAUUAGGUGGCAUUGAUAACCACUAUCGUGAUCCUGUACCAAAGGUAGCUCUGGUGUUAUGAAUCCUACACUCAUCCUGCUGAACAUUGUACUUCUACGUUGAGGUGCAGAAAUAUCCAGGAGGUUCCUCUCUUUCGUUUUCAGAAAGUAGGUAAUGUUUCCUUUGGAUUUUCAUAGUGGUGUGCUGGUAAAUAUUGAACAACCAACUCUCUUUAAAAAAGUACAAAUUAUACACAUUUGAGUUUAAUCUGAAUUACUAUUUUCUCCAUCUCUUUCUUAAUUAUAGACAAUCAACUAAACAAUUAAUCAAGUCCUUUCUUGUAGUCUUGUUAAUUUUCAAUGUAUCAAUGCUUCCAAUGAAUAUUUAUUUAAUAACUGACCCACCUGAGCUGGUUUCAGCUGACUCUAGCACUAUCCUGGAUUUGUAUUUACUUCUAUAUCUGGGGGGAUAUCUAUAACCCAUGACUCAUUUUCUAGGUACUUUGAAGUAUUGUGGGUGUGCAUAAUCUGAUAAACCCCAUCUUUUAUCUGGCCUUGGUAUAUUCCAUGGUACCCUAACCAUAUAACUUUGGCAUUAUAAUGACCUCUGUGGAAAAAAAAGAGGGGGCAGAGCUAAGAUGGUGGCUUAGUAGCAGUGAAAGCUGAAACUGCUUUGACAAUCCUUCCAAAUCAAUCUUUAAGAAGUGCCUCAAGACAACAGGAGUCAAAAACCAAUAGCAAGACAGAAUGAGGGGGCUUUCCUAUUGAACACAACUUGAAAGGUAGGAAGAAAGGGUCAAUUUUCACAGGAUAAGGGGAAAUCAAAAACAAAACUGCACACAGAGAAGUGCUAGUCAAUUACCCCCAGUAUCUUUUCACCAAAUUAAGCUUAAAGAACUUAAGACUCUGCUCCACAGCAAGGGAUACUCACUUGUAAGAAAAUAGAAGCUCCUUUGGUUGGUAUGUCUUCUUUUAGAAGAUCUAAUAUCUUUUCCUGAGCUUGUAAAUUGCACAUAGAGGCACCAUCAAGGACAUGUAAAAUGAGAAAAGAUAAUGAGAAUUCCAUAAAGAUGUAUUGGUACCCAUGAAAGAGAAAAAGAAACACAAGAGUCCCAAAGUAUAUGGUAUAAAUUCUGUAUAUAAGAUUUAUAGAAAAGCAUGGAGAAUGUGAAGACAGAGGGAUUGCCAUAUUGUAUUAAUAGAAGUAUCCACUAUGAUGAGAUUAAAGAGACCUCAAUGUAUCAAAGAAUUGUAUAUAUAUGAGGUAACUAAGAAGAUGUGGGAUCAUAUGAUUAAUAAAGAAAGUCAGGAGCCAGAAAUCCUGGUUUUCAAUAUCGUAUCUCUUUCCCCACCCUAAUUCCAUGGAUUGUUUGGGUCUUAUCACCAAUCUUUGAUGUAUUUUCACAAAAUGGCUAAUGCAAUUCCAUUUCAUAUAUUAAAACUAUCACAUGUGACUAAGAUCAAUGAAAA